rnacentral:misc_RNA from 1 species
CCAAAAAGAUUUCCUUGCUUAAUUGGUGCACAGUACUAUUAUACUCAGUAAGAUACUGCAUCAACCUGUCCUGAGAAAUCUGAAUAUUUCUCAACCCAAAAAAAGCUGCCUAAACUUACAAGAAAAUACCUACCUACCUACCUACUUACUUUCUCUUUUAACCGAUUUCUUCUUCCUUUGUCAUUUGCAUGAGCUGAUUUAUCAUUCCAAUUUUUGCCGCCAUCAUCAUUAUCAUCACUGUUGACAAUUAUAAUGCCAUCCUCCAUGUCAUCAUCAUCGCCUUCCAUAUUGCCCUCACCAUCCCAAUCUUCAUCAUAACCUUCUUCGUCAUAGGCAUCAUCAUAAUCUAAAUCAUCUUCAUCAUCAUUAUCAUCCAUACCUGCAUGCAACGUGUGGAACUCAGGUGGAGGUGGGCAAUCCUCCAUGAUCGCUUUCUCUCUCUUUAUCACAAGGUGUCGAAUAACUCUCUCGUCUUUGUCUAACAUGCUCUUGAAUUCAUUGAUCCAUUUGGCUUCUAACUCAAAAUUCAUCAAAAUGUAGUGGGCAUUUUUGGCUUUUUGUAUCUUGUACGCUAGCCUUCGCAUCCCCCAAUCAUUCAGUCUCCAUAUCUUGCCUUUCUUCUCCCUUAAAAAACCUUGAACUUUUUCAUUAACACUGCCAACUUCUUCUGCAUGCUUCUCAUGGAUUAGAUAAACCACUUCAUAGUGACGCAUACGCUCAACCUUCAAUUGACUUUCCAGCUCAAGGUUCAGAAAUUCAUAGAGUUUUUGCUCUUCAACAUCAGCGAAUUCAGGGAGAAGUUUACCAUCUUCCUGAACCUUCUUCUCUUUAAGCAGUACAGCCUCGGGGAAGGGCCCAGUGGCCUCAUCUGGUUUAGGCACAAAACUAUGGGUGUCUUCUUUCUUGUUGUUCUUCCUCUUGGCCCCAACAGUAACAUAUCUUCUCAAUCCAAAUGAAAGCUUUCGAGAGGUGAAUAGCUCUGCAGAACAGUACCCAUUUGGAAAAUUGAAGCUUGUGUUUCUGUACCAACUCAAUCCUCUACCAUGAAACUGUUUUGGGUUUGGAUAAGUCGCCGUGGUAUGCAGGAGUGUCUCCAUUGACGAACGAUUUCUUCC